rnacentral:rRNA from 1 species
UACGUAGGGUCCGAGCGUUGUCCGGAAUACUGGGCGUAAAGCGUGCGCAGGCGGCGCGUUAAGACAGGUGUGAAAGCCCCGAGCUUAACUUGGGAAUUGCGCUUGUGACUGGCGGGCUGGAGUGUGGCAGAGGGAGGUGGAAUUCCCAGUGUAGAGGUGAAAUUCGUAGAUAUUGGGAAGAACACCGGUGGCGAAGGCGGCAGUCUGAGCCGCAACUGACGCUGAGGCGCGAAA